CAGUGCUUGUGGUUCUUCUAAUGGUUCUUCCUUUUUAAAGGGGUCAUAUGAUGUUGCUAAAAAGAACAUUAUUUUGUGUAUUUGGUGUAAUGAAAUAUGUUCAUGCGGUUUAAGGUAAAAAAAACACAUUAUUUUCCACCUACUGUACAUUAUUGUUUCUCCUAUAUGCCCCGCCUUUCUGAAACACGUCGAUUUUUUCAAAGCUCAACAGUCUGAAAAGCGAGGUGUGCUCUGAUUGGCUAGCUAUCCAGUGCGUUGUGAUUGGCCAAAUGUUUCAAGCGUCUGACGGAAAUGUUACGUCCCUCAAUACAUACUGUUAUGGCGUGUCCCGGUCAGAACACCGGCAUGACAAGACAAAAACAAAACCCAUUACAAACGAUGCAGUUGUUGCAUCCAGUUGGGACAUAAUUACUGAUUAUAAUGACUUAUACUGUCUUUUUACGCGUUGUGUUGCAUAUCGCGCCGUGUAAACAUAAAACCAUGUCUGCAUUUGUGAUCGGAGAAACGACAAACAACAAGUGCUUCUCUACACUGCUCAAAAUUCGCGUUUGAAUCAUCAAAAUCCUUUACAUAUGUAAACCUACUUACAUGAGUGAGUGGCAACCAGUGGCUAUAACGAGGAAAAGCCGGAGGAUUCGACGAAGGAGCAGCCGGGGGUUGUGGCAACCACAUGUGACGACCCUGGGCUGGACUCCGCUUUGUCCACGGUGAAAGCUGAUCCUGCGAUCCACAGCACAAAGUUGAUGUAUUUCCUCAGCAACCAGCAUGACGAAGCGAUAUCGUGCUCUUUUGGAAAGCCAAACAAAGUAGUUUCACUUUCAAAAUGAAACACGCAGCUUCUCAAUGAAAUGGCGACAGCGGCAACAUCGAGAAUAGGGCUUGGGCGCCGCGUUGCAUUCUGGGACGUGGCGGCCAUGUUGAUGGCGUCGUGAAUGUAAACAUACAGCAAGUCGAACGAGAAGAAACAGAGUUGGGAGAAAGAAAAAAUAUGUUAAAAUCGCGAAAAGGUUGUGGGAUUUACAGGGAUACGCUAAGUAGGGAUGCCAGGGAUCGGUAUGUGGACAAAAUCGGCACUAUUAACGGUUUGGAUCAAUAUGAAAAUCCCAACAAAGAGUGGAGCACCGACGACGAGUUGCUGCCGCACUUUUGCAUUACAGGGAGUAUGUCUAAACACUGCACAGUAGUCCGAGUAGCAGUAAAGGAGGCCAUCAGCAUGGCGGCCAUGCCAAGUAAUGACGUCACGACGCCCAAGCCCUAUUAAAGGUAUGUCUUCUUUCGUUGCGUGAACAUUUGGGCGGUGUUUUGCAAAUCUUUCCACAUACGGACGUAGAGAUGUUGGGGCGUGUUUAAACAAGACGUUUUAGGGGAGCGUGGACAAUUCUUAACUUUUAUAAAGAAUAUCUCUUUGGAUUUGAGACUUUAGUCUUUGCAACUUUACAGAUCUUUUUUAUGCACCAAGAACUUGUAACACUCCAAAGAGAAAUGAAAAAUUUAAAUCGCAUCAUAUGACCCCUUUAAAUAAUCUUUGUCACAAUCAGAAUGGAAUUAAUGCAAUCAGCCUUAGGAGUGCUCUCUAUGAUUCAUAUAUAUAUAUAUAAAUUCCAUACUUUCAAAC
ensembl:lncRNA